AGAGGAUAACGGGGCCACAGCAAAAGUGUUCACGUCAUGGCCCCUGUCAGAUUCUGGUGAAUCUGCAAAUUCUGCU
rnacentral:ribozyme from 12 species